CCUACGGGUGGCAGCAGUGAGGAAUAUUGGUCAAUGGACGAGAGUCUGAACCAGCCAAGUAGCGUGAAGGAUGACUGCCCUAUGGGUUGUAAACUUCUUUUAUCUGGGAGUAAAUUGUUCCACGUGUGGGAUUUUGUAUGUACCAUAUGAAUAAGGAUCGGCUAACUCCGUGCCAGCAGCCGCGGUAAUACGGAGGAUCCGAGCGGUAUCCGGAUUUUUUGGGUUUAAAGGGUGCGUAGGGGGGAUGUUAAGUUAGUUGUGAAAGUGUGCGGCUCAACCGUAAAAUUGCAGUUGAAACUGGCAGUCUUGAGUAGAGUAGAGGUAGGCGGAAUUCGUGGUGUAGCGGUGAAAUGCUUAGAUAUCACGAAGAACUCCGAUUGCGAAGGCAGCUCACUGGACUGCAACUGACACUGAGGCUCGAAAGUGUGGGUAUCAAACAGGAUUAGAUACCCUGGUAGUC
rnacentral:rRNA from 1 species